rnacentral:lncRNA from 1 species
GAUUUUUGUCUUUGCACAGGGCAAUGAAAUGGCAGAUGAUCUGGUAACAGUGACAAGAACAAAAUCCCACAUACAACUUAAAAAAAAAAAUGAAGAGGCCCUGGAACUGGAUUCAACAGAUUGAGAAGGCUCCUCAGCUGAGAAAUCUCUAGUUCCUUCCUUCCUUCUUGCCAGUCGGGGAUCAGCUUGGCUCAGCUCAUCUCUUGUGAAGGGUGACAAGUAACAUUCCAGAUGGCAGAGUCUCCUUCAGCCUGAGCCUCUCAUGACCAGAUGCAAGCAGAGCCCUAGGCUGGAUGCCCAGGUGAGAAAGACAUCUUUGUUGUGUUGAGUUUUCAUGCUUACGUUGUGGCUACAGCAUAGCCUAACUUAACUGGAUUGAGACUGUCAGGUCCAUAUGGGCAAGAAUGACAUCUGUUCAAUCCCCAGCACUUGAUUCACAAAUUGGCACAUAUUGGUUGAGCAAUAGGUACAUGAUGAAUGAAAGAAUGAACGAGAGAGCGAGAGAGAUGAGAGCUAAUUAUAUCUUACUCACCAGUGUGUGCAGAGCACUCUUUCUAUAGUAUGUAGGCAAAGCUCACUUUUGUGAUAAUUACAGAGAAUAUAAGGUGGAGCCAUUACUUAUAAGGAUAAAUUCAAAGAGCUGAAGCUAGAAGGAAAUUUAGACAUCAUCUAAUUCAGGAGUCUCUGAAUGAGGUCAGAGGAAUGUCUACACUCAAACAAGCUGGGGGUGUUUUUAAAAAUUGUCUAGAUUAAUGAAUGGGCAUUGCCGAUUCUAUCAUUCUGGAACGUCAUUCAUCACCACAGAGGGAAAAGAAGGCCUAAGAAUCAAAUGUAGGCAUUUACUGGCUCCUGGAAUUGCCACAUACCAUUUCUACUCCCCAAAGUCAAAGUAAAUCAACAGGUCUGGAAUUUUUUUUGGGGGGGGGGGCUCACCCUCUGCACAUGGAAGUUCCCAGACCAGGGGUUGGAUCAGAGCUACAGCCCCUGGCCUAUGCCACAGCCACAGCAAUGCCAGAUCUGAGCCGCAUCUGUGACCUAUACCACAGCUCAAAGCAACACCAGGUCCUUAACCCACUGAGUGAAGCCAGGGAUUGAAUCCACAUCCUCAUGGAUACUAGUCAGAUUUGUUUCUGUUUUGCCGUAACAGGAACUCCCUGGAUAUUUGCAUUUUUAGCAAGCACUCAGAUGGUUUUUGGUGCUAGAAGUUUGAGAACCACUAGUUUAGUUUCAGAAAUUGGGAAAGGCAAAGUGAAUGUGACUGCAUUGCUACACUCAGUGCUCUGUGGGGCAGGUGAGGAACAGUGGUGGUACCUUCAUAAAAUCAUUUCUGGGGAAAUUCCACCACUGCUCCACAUGGAGGUGCCCUUCCAGAUGGUGUGACAGAGAGCAGAAUGGGUAAAAGCGGCUCUCGGGAGUCAGAUUCUCUGGUUUUCAAUCUGGCUCCACGCCUUCCUAGAUGCCUAGACUUUAAGGUGGUUGUUUACCCUCUCUGAACCUCAUUAUUGUCAUCUGUGAAAUGGGGAUAAUAACAGAAUGCACUUCAUAGAAGUAUUUUGACGAUUAUGUGAGAUGAUAUUUAUAAAGCACAUGAUGCAAAAUACAGACUUAAUAUAUAUUAACUAUGAUUUUAACAUAACUAUUAAGAAGCUGGCUCCUGCGCUUUUCUCAAUCCUUUAGAAUACUUACUGUUUUGGGGAAACUUAUAGUAGAGGUAUCUGCUCAUGAGAAACAUAAUUAGACCCUGAGUAUAAAUAAAUUUACACUACUGCACUGGCCUUUAUCAGAGUCUCUUUUAUGAUACAUUCAGACCCUACCUAAGUAAUCCUGAUAUGAAAAAAUGCAGAUGUACACAAGAGAUAUAUUAAUAAGUUACUAUUUACUUGAUAUAUUUUUCCUUUUUAAUAAAAGUUUCCUAUAAAAUCAAUUUGAAGAGAAAAAUUCCUGUGGUGCCUUUAAAUUAUGAUUGGUGUUCCAAAAAAAAA